rnacentral:rRNA from 1 species
GAUGAACGCUGGCGGCGUGCCUAAUACAUGCAAGUCGAGCGAACAGACGAGGAGCUUGCUCCUCUUACGUUAGCGGCGGACGUGUGAGUAACACGUGGAUAAUCUACCUAUAAGACUGGGAUAACUUCGGGAAACCGGAGCUAAUACCGGAUAAUAUAUUGAACCGCAUGGUUCAAUAGUGAAAGACGGUUUUGCUGUCACUUAUAGAUGGAUCCGCGCCGCAUUAGCUAGUUGGUAAGGUAACGGCUUACCAAGGCAACGAUGCGUAGCCGACCUGAGAGGGUGAUCGGCCACACGGGAACGGAGACCCGGUCCAGACUCCUACGGGAGGCAGCAGUAGGGAAUCUUCCGCAAUGGGCGAAAGCCUGACGGAGCAACGCCGCGUGAGUGAUGAAGGUCUUCGGAUCUUAAAACUCUGUUAUUAGGGAAGACCAAAUGUGUAAGUAACUAUGCACGUCUUGACGGUACCUAAUCAGAAAGCCACGGCUAACUACGUG